ACCUCCAAAGGGAGUGGCCCCCUGCUCUGGCUGGUCAAACGGAACCAAGUCCGUCUUCCUGAGAGGUUUGGUCCCCUUCAACCAGCUACAGCAGGGCUGGCAAAGCUCAAUAUUUGGAGA
rnacentral:precursor_RNA from 1 species